AUGCAUCCACCGAUAGACCUUGAACAAUCUAAUGUUGUUCUUUUGGUUUGCACUAGGAUGUGAAAGAAAAAAAUUCCUGUGCUUUCUGUCUGUCUUUGUGGCAGCCCAGAUUGAAUAGGGGACUACAUCU